AUUGAACGCUGGCGGCGUGCCUAACACAUGCAAGUCGCACGCGAAAGGGGGCAACCCCAAGUAGAGUGGCGGACGGGUGAGUAACGCGUAGGAAUCUACCUAGUAGUGGGGGACAACCCGGCGAAAGCCGGGCUAAUACCGCAUACGACCUAAGGGUGAAAGCAGGGGAUCGCAAGACCUUGCGCUAUUAGAUGAGCCUGCGUCCGAUUAGCUAGUUGGUGAGGUAACGGCUCACCAAGGCGACGAUCGGUAACUGGUUUGAGAGAACGACCAGUCAACCUGGGACUGAGACACGGCCCAGACUCCGACGGGAGGCAGCAGUGGGGAAUCUUGGACAAUGGGGGCAACCCUGAUCCAGCGACGCCGCGUGUGUGAAGAAGGCCUUCGGGUUGUAAAGCACUUUCGGCAGGGACAAACAAGACGGAGCUAACAUCUCCGUUCCUGAUGGUACCUGAAGAAGAAGCACCGGCUAACUCUGUGCCAGCCGCCGCCGUAAGAC
rnacentral:rRNA from 1 species